ACAGCAGCUCUGUCCUUCUCCAACUGAGCACAGACAAAAUAACAAUUUGGGCUAAGAGGUACAUUUUUAUUCCCAGGUAAAAAAACAGAAUAAGAAUCAUUGCAAUAAGUUAUCAACCGCCCUCCUCUAGCUGGGAUUCGUCUGCGAGUGACUGUGGGCAAUGACAGAACUCAUGACAGCACCCCUGCCGCAGCACACAGGGCAUCAGAGAGCUUUGCCACGCUUUGAGGGCCCUCGGAGCGGCCACUUCACCUGCUAGAACUGGCAUGGAGGGAAGUCGUGGUUGAAGACCCAUCCAGUAGUCAUACUCCUCCCUCACCAUGAAAAUUCUACACUGAGAGCAAAGCAAUGACAAGAGAUUAUUAUACAGUGCAGGUAAAUGAGCAGGCAGUGCCCAAAGGUGGGUCUUCAGGUAAAAGGGAGGAUAUGGAAAAUGAAGACAGGCUUCAUCAGAGACCAAUAAACAGAAUACAUGUGAACUCGGAUAUCGGGCUUGGGACAUACAGGUGGCACCGAGACCAAAGAGCACCUAAUGAUGGCCGUCACAAUGGUGCCCAGAACAUCAGGUUCCCUCAUCCUAAGUUGCAUGUCUCGUUUUUAAUGUCACAUUCCAACACAGGGAUUAGCUGGUCUUGGUGCUAAUGUGUCAGCUGUGGGGACCUGGAACUUGGCAGGAGCAAAUAGGUUAUCAGUGAACCCAUAACGAUCCUGAACUUCUGCCCCAGGGAGUCCCAAGAUGUAGGAGAACCAGUCCUACCACCUAAACCCCCACUCUUGAGGAAGGGGAAGGAUUCUGCCAUUGGCCCUGUGGGGGAUGCAGGGUUUAUGGUGAGGGGUUCCCCCUUUUCCAUCCUUCCUCUAAAGCCAAGAAUGGGAGAGGGUUUCUGAGAAAAUCUUUAGUGAAGAUGGUGGGGUGUGGGGAUGCCCACGGGAAGGGAGCAUUCGCAUCCCAUUCCCUCACUGGAUUUCUGCCCAGGCACUGCGCUUGCUUGUCUGCUCCUGAGGGAGAAGAGAAUUGGAAAGAGCCUGCAGGAUGGGGAGAGGUGUGAGAGGGGCGGAGCUGCACUCCCAUCCACCUUGUGUCGUGGUGCAUACGCAGUGUUUCUUUGUGGAGGGCCACCAAGGAAGGCAACUGGGCUUGCGCCACCUGGACCCCCUAAACAGCUGUCCUUAACAUGAGGGGUCGCCAGCAGAACUGGGCUGGGAGUUGCACCUCCCAUGUUGGGGGGACUGAGCGAUGGGGAGGGCCCUCCAAGAAGCUCACAUCGGUUUCGAGACCGUGUCAGCUUUUGGAAACCAGACAGCGAUGAGGGCCAGUCAACGUUGGCAAGAGAUGCGUCCCCAGUCAACUGUGUGAGGUCUGGAGCAGCAGUUGGUUAAACAGAGACGCCCCUUCCCGAGGAGGUAGACUUGGAGGAGGAAGUAGAGGAAGCAUUCUACAGCCCGCCCCCAUUUUGAUCAGCCCACACCCUAGUUCAAUCUUGUGUUUGGGGUUCAGGAUUUGAAAGUUUGUGAAAGGAAAGGAUAAAUGACCAGAGGCGUUCCUAUUCAAAGGUGGGAAUAAGGUUGACCAGGGAUGAGAAGCUGGAAAAGGGAACGAGUGUCACACCCAGGGUGGCACCCUAUAUACAGACUCCAACGUGGACUGUGGGUUGAAUCAGGACACUCCUCUGGUUCGCUGGGGACUUUCCCGAUUUUAAAGCUUAAAGUCCAUUGCCCUGGGAACCUCCUCAGUCUUGAACACUUCUGGGAAACCGAUUAUUCGUUCUUCUCGCAAUCCCAGAGUGACCUCCGUCAGCGAUAGCUUUACCACUCCAAGUCUGACAUCUCAACGGCUCAAAAUGGGCCAGAGACAUCAGCUUAUAUAACAUUAACUCGUGGGCCUGUGGACUCUAGGCUGCUUAGGAGAUAAGAGGAAGUGCCUUUUGGCUAUUUUUCUAAAGUCUAAAAAUACAAUAACAGCUGCAGGGAAUCAGCAUUUAAUACCAGAUAUCACAUUCGUGUCAAAUGUCCAGGCCAGAAAUGGUGUCCAAAACAUUAAAUUCUCAACAAAAAGAUUUUGGUGAUCAAAUACAAAGCCAGUGGACUCACCUGCAAUUACUGGGCAGUUUGUUGAGCUAGUCCUCAUGGAACAGGGAAGGCAUCUCAUUUGUUAUUCUUGAAUUCUUAAAUCAUAUUUUUGAGAAUCAAAUGAGAUGUUGCACAACACCAGAUGUUCUACAAAGCAGUAAGAAAACCAACAGCUUCUGACAUUUUUUUUCCCCCAAUUCUUUCUCCCUUAGCUCAAAACAAAUAUGUUAGUAUCACUUCCAGCUUAUUGAGUCUAUGAGGCAGUGGGAGAAACAGAACAAAAUCAUGAGAAAAACAUGGCACCAACAAUUGCCAUCUGAUGAGGGGCACAGGAAGGGAGAGAACAAAUAAUGAAGGCUAACCAUGCAGGAAGUUUUAUAAUUUACAAAACUUGUUUCUGUUUCUCUCACACAAAGAAGUAUAGGAUGAAAAAUGAAGUAGAAAGGGCAAGGAAAAGGUAAGCGAGAAAGAGACUUAAAACUUACAUACUGCCUCAUCUAUCUGGAAUUGAAAUAUAUGGCCGUUGGAAUAAUCACAAUAUAAACAAGAAUGUGUAAGACUCAAGCAAAAGUCCUUUUCCCAUAUUCCAUUGUUGUUAUAAACAAUAGUAAGUGGCUAAUUUUGUAUUAUUAUUUCCACACACAUUGUAAACAGAAGGCUUUCAUUUGUUAACAGAAGUCUAAAAAUAUAAUAUAACAGAAGGCUUUGAGGAUGGGAUAUUUCCCUCUUUGUUUUGUCAUUCUGCAACUACUGGACAACUAUAUCCACAUGACAAAUCUUGAAGGAAGACCGAAAUUAUAGCCAUACUCCUUGCCGUUGUCUGUCUUCUCAUAAAUCAGAGUUGACGACAAAGAGAUUGAUGAUGUACGUGUUGGUAUUUCUUCUGCACACUGAUUCUCAGGCUUGGAGUACAUUUUGCAGUGUGACCUCAGACUGUUCCUUCUGUUUCAUCCUUCUGCUGCUUCUCUCAGAUUUUACUAAAUCCAGUCCCACUGAAACCAAAACCAAAACCAUAAUAAACCAAAGUUCCUGAGGGCUGCUAUACUGUGGAUGGAAUCCCAUUGCUAUUAAUAGUUAGAUCGUGCUUGCUGGGAAAACUGUGUCUUGACCUCUUUCUCACCAGUCACCAAAACCAUAACCAUCAAGUAACAUCCUGUGGUCGCCCGGACCAUGACCUUGUGAUGGGUCCUGCCCCAGGUCAUCUCAGCCACACUCUGCUUUUCUACAACUCCUUCUGAGCCUUCUUUAGUUUGUUGCUACAGUAACUGAGGAAUGCUAGAGUCCGAGAUGGACUUCAAAGUUAACCUUCAAAUUCCACACCAAUUGGGGAAACAUUUAAUUCUAGGGUUGUUUCUGGAAGGAAAGCUUCCUUUUAGUAAUCUUGAUUUCUCCAGGGUUUCUGACAGUGACAAGUAGAGUAAAAAGAAUGUGGAAAUGGUAUUCUUAAAUUUGAGAAUAAAUGAUUGGAUUACGCAUUUAUUUUUCAUGUAAAAUUUAAGAAAAGAGAAGGCACAUGAGUAACUUCCACACUGCCUUUUCCCACAUCAUAUAAAAUAUUGAGUGCCUUUUUUUUCAAUAAAAUUAAAUUUUAUUCUCAUUGAGUAUAAAAUUUAUGCACAUGAAUUAUUGAUUUCUUUUUAAAAAGACAAGACAUAUUCAUGCCCCAGAGCUUUUUUUCUUCCUUUAGAUGGAAAUCUCUUCUCUUGAGUAUUUCUUGAGCACAAUGUGUAUUAUUUUGGACUUUGGCUGCAGAAGAGCACAGAGCAUUCCUUUUGUGAAUAAGUAUCAGCUCAUAUAACAGUUUCCUGUUCUUUGCUUCCAAGUUGCUCAGAUUGGCCCGAGGGUUGGAGUCUGGGCCACCACCCGGUGAGUUAUGCGAUUCAUAGAUGACAUUUUAAUGUGGAACAUUUGCCACUCUUUGCUCAGAAAUGAAGACCCCAGUGAAGUGCUUGGAAAAGUCUUAGAAAUAAUUGUUCCUUAAAAUAUUUUUUAAAGAAUUCAAGUGAAAAAUGCAAAAAAAAAAAAAAAAAAAAA